ACUCUUUGUUGCGUGUACGACUUUUUGUAUUCUCUACUAAUUUGACGUGCUCCAUCAAUAUUUUGAAAUUCAAAUAAAACAUUAACCUAUUUUCUUGAAACUGGUUUAGCAAUUCGUUUUUUUCUUUCUAAAAGGGAAAAAUAGUGGGCAAUUUGAUGUUAUUUCCGCCAAAGAAAAGAAGAAGAUAUUUUUGAUGCUAUUCGUAAAUUAUUUAGACGUUUAACAAUAUGAAAAGAAGAAAGCAGCAUAUAUUUUAGUGAUAAGAACAUAUAUAUUUUUCACUAAAGAUUCAUAAUUUUUUUUUAUUUUUGAGGCAAAUUAAUUUAAGAGUUUUAGUAUACGGUAUUUUUAACAUAAGAUAUAUUUAUUAGAUUCUCUCAAUAAUAUUUUAAGGUCUUAAUUGAAAUAAAUAGAAGAAUCACUACGAAAUGGUCUCUGUGAUAGAUAACUUAUUUAUUUUGAUUUUAUCCAUACGCGGAAUGAAACGUGUUUGGUGUAUUCAACACCGACUCUUUCUCUACCUUUAUAAAUAGUGGUCAUUCCAUUUGUUCAAGUCACAACACAUAAAGCAAUCAAAAAGAAGAAAAACAAACAAACUACAACUUUAAAUUAAAGAGAAGAGAAGCAAUGGCAGGUUCUAACUGUGGAUGUGGUUCCGGUUGCAAAUGUGGCGACUCUUGCAGUUGCGAGAAGAACUACAACACGGAGUGCGACAACUGCAGCUGCGGAUCAAACUGUAGCUGUGGGGACAGCUGCAGCUGUUAAUUGUGAUGUAAAUCACAUGUACGCAGGAAAAUCGGUGGGAAAAAAUGUGUUUGAUGUUAAGA